rnacentral:rRNA from 1 species
CUGCAGCUCAAGUGGUGACCACUAUUAUUGGGCCUAAAACGUUCGUAGCCGGUUUAGUAAAUGUCUGGGUAAAUCGAGCCGCUUAACGGUUCGAAUUCCGGGUAGACUGCUAAACUUGAGACCGGGAGAGGCUAGAGGUACUCCUGGGGUAGAGGUGAAAUUCUGUAAUCCUGGGGGGACCACCAGUGGCGAAGGCGUCUAGCUAGAACGGGUCUGACGGUGAGGGACGAAGCCCUGGGGCGCAAACCGGAUUAGAUACCCGAGUAGUCC